GCUGGCAAAAACGGUGUUUAUCUGAGUGGGUGGCAGAGUUUUAGUGCCAUUCAUGAUGUCAACUGGGACCCUGACUGCUCCUCUAUUCCCAGCCUGGAUGACGGUCUCUCAGCCUCUUGACAAUUCCAGACACGCUCCUCUAAACGGGAAUCCGCGAUGCGUCCGGCUGCGCAGCCGCGGCUUUUGUGAAAGUGAGGGGAUCGGCGCUGCCCCUGUCCCGGCCCCCUCUGGCUCACGCUCCCGCGGCCGGCAGUGUGUGAGCUCGGGGUGCUGUUGGUGGCGGAGGUGUCGGAGGCGGCGCGGAGGGGUGGGCACAGCCAGGGCAGCACAGGGGGGCACCGGAGAGGAAGAGGAGGAGGAGGAGGAGGAGGAAGAGGGAGACAAAAGUGGAUCCGAUCAUCAACAGCAGCCUGGAAAUGCCCAUCAGGUGAGUAAUAUCAUUGAUCUAACAACUUUGAGACGAGACGCGCGUGCACGUUCAGACGCGCUUUUUUGGGACACUUCUGAACUUGAGUUUGUCAUGAAGUUUUUUAAAGUCACUUUAAAAUUGCUUUAUUUCUACUUUCUGUCUGUUAACAUGUUUGUUCCCCUAGUAAUCACCAUUUUACGCGUUAAUCAACUCUUUUGACAGAGCUGAAAAAUGAACUGAAUGAACUGUUAUAGAAAUGUUAUUGUUACAAUAAAGUUUUUUUUUUUAUAUAAGCUACUAAAACAAACUUUGAAAAAAAAUCACAAGUCCUUCUGAUAAACACUUUUCCUGUUUGUUUGGGUUUUUUCAUGACUAAAAGCAGCAGAAAUGUCCACCACUGUGCAGAAGAUCCAACUAAUCAAGUCUGAUUGUGAUCUGUGCUGAGUGGGACUCCAUCCGCUCCACAUGUUUAAACGUGUGUGGUGCUUUUGAGAUAUAGAGCGGCAUGCGCGCCCGUCUCCACCUGCAGAGGCAGAAUUGGUCACAGUUUAGUGGCUUCGCUGCCUUCAGGGUGUUUGCAGCAGGUGGUCCAAAUUGGCAGAAUGACUGUGACAAACACUCAGUGUUUACGGCUGCUGCAAAGUAAAUAAUAGCAUCAAACUCAGUUAUUG
rnacentral:lncRNA from 1 species